rnacentral:rRNA from 1 species
GAUGAACGCUAGCUACAGGCUUAACACAUGCAAGUCGAGGGACCGGCGCACGGGUGAGUAACACGUAUCCAACCUGCCCUGUACUCGGGGAUAGCCUUUCGAAAGAAAGAUUAAUACCCGAUAUCAAGGGUGGGGAUGCGUUCCAUUAGGUUGUUGGUGAGGUAACGGCACACCAACCCUUCGAUGGCUAGGGGUUCGGAGAGGAAGUGCCCCCACAUUGGAACUGAGGCACUGUCCAAUCUCCUACGGGAGGCAGGAGUGAGGUAUAUUGGGCAAUGGGCGCUAGCCUGAACCAGCCGAGUAGCGUGAAGGAUGAAGGCUUAUGGGUCGUAAACUUCUUGUAGAUAAGAAUAGGUAUUAUAUGAAUAAGGAUCGGCUAACUCCGUGCCAGCCGCCGCGGUAAUUC